rnacentral:ncRNA from 2 species
CAUUAUUGAUGAGGCGCAUUAAUCAUGAGUAGCCAUAUCGUUUUUGUCUGCAAGCAAGAUAUGUCGAAAGGGUGAGAUGCCGAAAUAAACAGAAUUUGCAGGGACUGUUUGUUGGAUUCUAUGGUUAAGAGCUGAGAAUCUGUCAUUAUUUGCGGAUAAUGGAGUGCAUCACUUGUA